GUCCACGCCCUAAACGAUGUCUACUAGUUGUCGGGUUUUAAUUAACUUGGUAACGCAGCUAACGCGUGAAGUAGACAGCCUGGGGAGUACGGUCGCAAGAUUAAAACUCAAAGGAAUUGACGGGGACCCGCACAAGCGGUGGAUGAUGUGGAUUAAUUCGAUGCAACGCGAAAAACCUUACCUACCCUUGACAUGGCAGAAACCCCUGAGAGAUGGGGGGUGCUCGAAAGAGAAUCUGCACACAGGUGCUGCAUGGCUGUCGU
rnacentral:rRNA from 1 species